UACGAAGGGAGCUAGCGUUGUUCGGAAUCACUGGGCGUAAAGCGCACGUAGGCGGACGUGUAAGUCAGGGGUGAAAUCCCGGAGCUCAACUUCGGAACUGCCUUUGAUACAGCACGUCUUGAGUCCGGAAGAGGUGGGUGGAAUUCCUAGUGUAGAGGUGAAAUUCGUAGAUAUUGGGAAGAACACCGAUGGCGAAGGCAGCCAUCUGGACCGACACUGACGCUGAGGCGCGAAAGCGUGGGGAGCAAACAGG
rnacentral:rRNA from 1 species